UAGCGAGACUCUGGAAAGUGCCCCGUCGCGUCGGUGGGGCCGCCGAAGGUGUAACCCUGCACUUGGCCGCGUUGGCCGGGAACCGGGGGAAAGCUCUCAGGCUUCCGUGACAGAGGGGGCACC
rnacentral:ncRNA from 1 species